GUGGGGAAUCUUGCGCAAUGGGCGAAAGCCUGACGCAGCCAUGCCGCGUGGAUGAUGAAGGUCUUAGGAUUGUAAAUUCCUUUCACCGGUGAAGAUAAUGACUGUAGCCGGAGAAGAAGCCCCGGCUAACUUCGUGCCAGCAGCCGCGGUAAUACGAAGGGGGCUAGCGUUGCUCGGAUUUACUGGGCGUAAAGGGCGCGUAGGCGGACAUUUAAGUCAGGGGUGAAAUCCCGGGGCUCAACCUCGGAACUGCCUUUGAUACUGGGUGUCUUGAGUAUGAGAGAGGUGUGUGGAACUCCGAGUGUAGAGGUGAAAUUCGUAGAUAUUCGGAAGAACACCAGUGGCGAAGGCGACACACUGGCUCAUUACUGACGCUGAGGCGCGAAAGCGUGGGGAGCAAACAGGAUUAGAUACCCUUGUAGUCC
rnacentral:rRNA from 1 species